rnacentral:lncRNA from 1 species
UCUUGAUUUUAUCCCUCCUGGGUAGUCCAUGAAGAGGAUGAGCAGUAGAAAGUACAGUUGACGCGUUAUUCGAAAGAGACACCUGCACGAGGCUGGAGACUCGCCAAAUAACUGAUAGCGUGGGCGUCGCGACUUCGAAGACGACGUCGAACGACCAAAGUCGAGAGGGGGUGAAGCUUCCCCGUUCUUCUUGUUCCAUUGGUCAGGAACCGAUUGUGCGAUUCGUGUCUUCCUCCUCUCCGUCUUCUGUUCUUACCGAUCGUCCCUAUCGCUGGAGGCAAACUGCGAAUUGUUGCACCGAUAGAGUCGUCAUCAGUUGCUCUGAUUUGGAGAGGAAGAUUCAUGAUACCAAGAUGAUGGACACCUAUGAUGAGAUUUAAGAUUCACUUGUGAUAGAUAAACUAUCAAUGCACUCAAGGAAAAUGAAUGGCCACUGAAAUCGAAGUUCCGCGUGACCAACCGGAAGUGUGCCCGAAAAGCGAGCGUAAGGUGCCUUUAAGAAGGAUAAAAAUGUCCUCAGAAGAACUAUAAAAAGCGUUCCACGGGUUAGCAGGCUCAAUCACGAGCGGAGUAUCCCUCGGACCUCUCCGUGACUUCCGGUUCUUGGUAGCGGGCGACGACGCGCGUGUGCCAGCGCGGUGACCGGAUAUGGCGAAGAACCGACUGACCAAAUCGUUCGACGGAGAGCCGCCGCUUCGCGUAUCGAGCUUUUCAUGCGAAUCACGCGUUCUCCUGUACCAAAUACCAAGCUCGUAUCGGUGACAUCAUACUCCGCGUUGUAUACUUGUGCCAACGUGCACAGGUGAACGCGUGCUAGAGUAUACAAUUGGAUGGAACGAUGUCGUCGUUUUCAAUCACGAAUCUCAGUCCUUUCUUUGCAGUUGCUUCACUUUAAUCGUUUAACUUGUUAACUGGACGAUGACUGAAAAAUCAUAAUUAGAAUUGACUAAUUCUGAUAAUCAUGGAAUUAAUAGUUAACAAAAAGUGUCAAUUUUAAUUUAAUGUAGAUACGAUAUAACGUCGAGUGCAACUUCAAAAGAGUAUUGAUAAUCAGUAUUUGAGAUUUU